rnacentral:rRNA from 1 species
CGGACGGGUGAGUAACGCGUGAGAAUCUAGCUUCAGGUCGGGGACAACCACGGGAAACUGUGGCUAAUACCGGAUAUGCCGAGAGGUGAAAGGCUUGCUGCCUGAAGAUGAGCUCGCGUCUGAUUAGCUAGUUGGUAGAGUAAAAGCCUACCAAGGCGACGAUCAGUAGCUGGUCUGAGAGGAUGAUCAGCCACACUGGGACUGAGACACGGCCCAGACUCCUACGGGAGGCAGCAGUGGGGAAUUUUCCGCAAUGGGCGAAAGCCUGACGGAGCAAUACCGCGUGAGGGAGGAAGGCUCUUGGGUUGUAAACCUCUUUUCUCAAGGAAGAAAAAAAUGACGGUACUUGAGGAAUAAGCAUCGGCUAACUCCGUGCCAGCAGCCGCGGUAAUACGGAGGAUGCAAGCGUUAUCCGGAAUGAUUGGGCGUAAAGGGUCCGCAGGUGGCAAUGUAAGUCUGCUGUUAAAGAAUGAGGCUCAACCUCAUCAGAGCGGUGGAAACUACACAGCUAGAGUGCGUUCGGGGUAGAGGGAAUUCCUGGUGUAGCGGUGAAAUGCGUAGAUAUCAGGAAGAACACCAGUGGCGAAGGCGCUCUACUAGGCCGCAACUGACACUGAGGGACGAAAGCUAGGGGAGCGAAUGGGAUUAGAUACCCCAGUAGUC